AAGGCGGGCUGGACCUCUCGGGGUUACAGCCUUGCUGAAUUAUUCACCCUUGUCUUUUGCGUACUUCUUGUUUCCUUGGUGGGUUCGCCCACCACUAGGACAAACAUAAACCUUUUGUAAUUGCAAUCAGCGUCAGUAACAAAUUAAUAAUUACAACUUUCAACAACGGAUCUCUUGGUUCUGGCAUCGAUGAAGAACGCAGCGAAAUGCGAUAAGUAGUGUGAAUUGCAGAAUUCAGUGAAUCAUCGAAUCUUUGAACGCACAUUGCGCCCUUUGGUAUUCCAAAGGGCAUGCCUGUUCGAGCGUCAUUUGUACCCUCAAGCUUUGCUUGGUGUUGGGCGUCUUGUCUCUAGCUUUGCUGGAGACUCGCCUUAAAGUAAUUGGCAGCCGGCCUACUGGUUUCGGAGCGCAGCACAAGUCGCACUCUCUAUCAGCAAAGGUCUAGCAUCCAUUAAGCCUUUUUUUUCAACUUUUGACCUCGGAUCAGGUAGGGAUACCCGCUGAACUUAAGCAUAUCAAUAAGCGGAGGAAGGA
rnacentral:rRNA from 1 species